CUGAUGGAAAAACUACCAUGUAUGUUCAUGAUAGAAAAGCAAUUAUGAGCCAGUUUUAUGGUGAUAAUUAUGAAGUUGAUCUGUAAUUUGUUCAGAAUGUUCUAAUUAUCUAUACGACUAUACAGGAUGACAAUUUGGCAUGUUGUAACAGGUCGACAAAGAGAUUGCCAUGCAACACAAUACAAUAAGAAGAGUAGUGAUGACAUCUUUGUUAAACUGGUGAUAUAUCAUAUAUUAAUAAAAAUAUUCAGAUUUAUUUAUAGCUACAUUUUGCAACUAUUAUAUUAUUGAUGAAACUUUCCACACAUUUAGGUUUUCUUUUCAAAUGAUGUUUUUGUUAGAAUACGAAAGAUAAAAUAAUUAUGUCAUUAUGACACCAAAAUGCCCGUCCACCGGACGGGUAUUAAACUAGUUUAUAAAGGUUGGAUUUAAAAAAAAAAUAAAAAAGCUUGGCCAAACUAUCCGUUGGCAACGGAUACAUUGUGGGAAAGUGUGAGAGUUGGGCGACGUGGUUGAGUCGGGCAAGAGGGGGUCGCCACCCAAGUCGCCCCCAGGGGCGGUGUUCCAGGCGAUCUGGGGUGGGAGUCGCCCCACUCCCCUCAGUCUUACAACCUCGAGCCCUAGCAAAGUUCAAUUCACUCUCUCUCCAAUCUUAUUUUUUCUCUCGAUCUUGAACCCUAGCCUCCUCUAUCCCUCUCCAUUUGGAUGGCGAAUAACUGGAGAUGUAGAACACCGAUUCAAAGAAAUCCUAACCGAUUUGUAGAAGGCGGUGGCAUCUGGUGUAGAUCCGACAUCGUUUGACGGUAAAGAUUGGGGCGUAUCCGUUCGAGAAUAUCUUUUUCAAAACGACGCCGUCAGUCAGGUGAUUCUAGGGUUUAUGAAUUUGAAAACGACGACGUUCUAGGGUUUAUGAUUGUGACUACUUUUUUCAAUCACCCUGUUGUUUUGCGGGUUCCGAUUCUGACUCAUUCAACGGUUAAAUGGGUUCAGGGUUAGUUCGGUUUCGUGACGAUUCUGAAUUAGAACAGGUUCAAAAUUGAGAUGCUAAUUACUCAAAGGUCCCACUUUUGAAUCUUGUAUUAAAUUACGAUUGUUGUUAUUAUAAUUUAUCUUUUGUAGAAUGAAGGGACAUAGAAUACCAACAAAUUCACAGAUGUUGAAUUUACACCAAAUAUUGAAUUCACAAACAGUGUAAAAUCAUCUAAUUCGAAUUUUAGUUUAACAAUAGUUAACGGUCUUGCUAAAGUUGAAGGAGCAUCGAAUGAUAAUUGAGUAUCGAAUGAUAAUUUGGGGAAUAAGCUACCGUUUUUCCGAUUAUAAUUUUCCCUUUUAGUUUUAUUCGACUAUUUCUGUUACAGUGAUCAUUGGUAUAAUGCUUCAUCUUCCAUUAUGUAUUGUUAUAUUAUGUUUUCUGGUUAUCAAGUUUAGUUGUAUCUCACAUGAGAGUUGUUGGUCUUAACAUAACUGAUACAUGGGAACCACUACAGGAGGACUUACUUGGUAAGAUCAUCUUGUGCUUUUAUAUAUUAAAAAGAAUGGUCUUUGUCGUUGCUAUAAUAUGACGGUGGCAAAUGUGUGCCAUAUCAUAAAAAUAUGAUUAUGGUUUUUUUAUUUAAGUUUUGUGUUUUUGCAGUCUAGAAACUACCAUGCAUAUAUCAGUGAUCGCUAUAACUCUCUCUAAGGACGGAACUGAAUACAUCAGUUAUUGGUGUCAAAUGGAUCAAAUAAAAAUGUUCGCGAAAAGGGAAACAAGACAGGUGGGUGAAAUGGGUUGAAAUAAGAAUAUUCCAAAGUUUAUUUUAGUUGCCUAUAGACGUCUGCGUUGUUUGAUUCAGUUUAGCAUACUAACAUUCUUGUCCAUGUUAAACAUAGUAAUUUUUAUAAUUUUUUUUAGAAUAUUUUUCAUUCAUAAUUGACUUUGUCAAGUUACAUUAAUACAGAAGGUAGACGGGCAACAAGCUGCGCCGCCAACCCCCUUCUGAAUUGCAAACCCUAAUCUUCCAAAGACAAACCCCGGGGGAUGAACAUAGUAACUGAUUUCUAUUUUAUAAACUAGCAAUUAAAUUUUUUCUCGAAUUUAAAGUUUAAAAACUUCAUUUACCGGACUAAACUUUAAAGUAAAAGUAAUUUUGUAACAGAGUAGCAUACCACUAACUAAAUGUAUAGUGCCUGGUAAACAGAGAAAUAGGAGGUUGAACCUGGAAAAGAAUCAUUAAACACUUUGGUGGAAGAAGGAAUCGAGCAUAAACCACAAAAGGCUACAAAAGAGCAAAGAAGAAGGUUCUAAUAAGAAAAAAGAAAAUGAUAUUAAUGUUAGUAAGCUCGUGUCUGGGCCAAAACUAUUUUUGCCAGGUUCACCCGUAAACAUUUGAUGCAAAGACUUUUUUCAUCGCAAUAAAUAUUUGACGCAAAUAUAA